rnacentral:lncRNA from 1 species
AAACCCAACCAACCAAAUAACAACUAAAAAACAAAUGUCUUUUUUGUGAUAAUUUUUUUUAUGUCAUUAGUUUAUUUACAAUUUUUUCUAGUAUAAGAGUUCAAGAGUUUAAUCCAAUUUUCAGAUCAUCUCUUAAACUUUCUUCAUUCUGUUAAAGGGAUGAAUUAAAUAUCCUUAUUUUUUAAGUAGCUGGUGUCUUACUAUAAAGAAAGGUGCGGCAAACCCAGAUCCAAAGUACACGGUCAUCAUAGCCAGCAACUGCCACUUGUUUUCCACUGAAAAUGGCAAAUUCUUCCCCGGACCCUCCUCAUAGUGGCUGCGACGGACCACGGAGGUGGUGAACCUCCGGAUACUCUGGCCCAACAUGUCGCU